rnacentral:tRNA from 1 species
CAGGUCAGUGACCAUCUUGUCCGCCUGAAAAGCGGAAGGUCGCCGGUUCGAUCCCGGCCCUGGCCA